UACGGGGGGGGCAAGCGUUGUUCGGAAUUACUGGGCGUAAAGGGCUCGUAGGCGGCCAACGAAGUCAGACGUGAAAUCCCUCGGCUCAACCGGGGAACUGCGUCUGAUACUGGAUGGCUUGAAUCCGGAAGAGGGAUGCGGAAUUCCAGGUGUAGCGGUGAAAUGCGUAGAUAUCUGGAGGAACACCGGUGGCGAAGGCGGCAUCCUGGGUCGGCAUUGACGCUGAGACGCGAAAGCUAGGGGAGCGAACAGG
rnacentral:rRNA from 1 species